rnacentral:rRNA from 1 species
UACGUAGGGUGCAAGCGUUGUCCGGAAUUAUUGGGCGUAAAGAGCUCGUAGGCGGUUUGUCGCGUCUGCUGUGAAAACUCGGGGCUUAACCCCGGGCCUGCAGUGGGUACGGGCAGACUAGAGUGCGGUAGGGGAGACUGGAAUUCCUGGUGUAGCGGUGAAAUGCGCAGAUAUCAGGAAGAACACCCGUGGCGAAGGCGGCUUUCUGGGACGGUACUGACGCUGAGACGCGAAAGCGUGGGGAGCGAACAGG